UCUCUUAGUCUCCCUACUCUGUCGGGCCUAAAAUAAAAUGGUUAAUAUGUCUCAUCUUGUGCCUCCUCUUUUUCUUUAUAUCUAAUUUAAACCAAAACCUUACAUUUGGGGCCCUCGUGAUUUAGGCUCUCUCCAUAAGCUCUCUCGAAGCUUGCUGGCAGGAUAGGCUUUCUCUGUAACCUCUCCUGCCAGGGGCACGGGAAAUUUCGGGGAUCCUAAAAUCUGAACUCAUAACUGGCUUUCCAUCUCGGUUUUUCCUGGCACUUCCUCCUGCCUGCAGCGGACUGAGAUGCCGGGACUCUGUCCACUUCAACUCGCCACUUUUCAAACUAAGGAUCUGGAACUCACUCAUCUGCCUGUUGGCUGCAAUCGGAAAAGGAGAAGAAACUGACACAGACAUUCACAAUGAAGAUGACCAUGCCCUGAUGCACAAAGACCUCACAUGUGAAGAGCCUCACGGAAGACAACGAUUUGGAAAUCCGUACAUCUCAUUCCAUAGAGUCCUUCUGAAGUGGAACAUACAUGUCACACUUCUACCACAUUUGCUAGCUGCAGAGGGGUUCUGUACCAACAUGGAUCAGCACCACGUCACAGCGGUGCUGAGUAAUUCAUCACAUGAUCUUCUCUGGAGCCAAAUGAUUCGG